rnacentral:tRNA from 1 species
AAAGAAUUAGUUAAAUUAUAACAUUUAAAUGUCAUUUAAAAAUUAUUUUUAUUUUAAAUAUUCUUUG